rnacentral:lncRNA from 1 species
UUGCACUCAAAGCUCGGAACAAGCUAUUCAGAACCAACCCAACCCAACAUUUAAGAGAAAAACGUCCAUCUCAAAGACUAGGUAAUUCUUCACCACUAUUCUUAAAGGAAAAAAGAAAUGAAAAUCACGAACAAUUACCUCGAUUAUUCUACUCAUUGUUGUUUCAAUUAUACUCUUCAUCUUGGUCUACUAUUUGAUUAAGAGAAAGCCAAUCAACACCUGCAAUACUUUCAUUUGUGAAGAUGAUGACAACUUUCUUUUUGUUUGGAGUGUCGGCAAACUCUAUAACAUCUUUUGUUUUGGUAUGUAGAGUUGAGAAUUAUACCUUCAUAUUUUAAACCAUUUCAUCUAGUUCAGUUUAUCUUUAUUCUUCCAAUGUCUUAUUGAAUCUUCUUCUCUAAAGUCUAAAUUUGAGAGAGCGGGUAUCUACUAAAGACAUUUUAACGUUCAAGUCAGUUUUUCAAUUAAACCGAUCGGUUAUCACAAUUAAGUCUUAAAUGUCCAAUAAAUGCAAUGAACUACCUACUUACCUUACCUCUAUAUUUAUAGAUUUUGAAAUGAGUUUUUGAUUAAGGUUGACUCAAUCACAACCCAAUGUCUCCUAAACAUGUUUUUACCUUACUAACCGAAUUGUGAAAUUUUUGAUGUGCAAGGUACCGAACGGUUACCAAUUUGGUUGGUAACCGUUCGGCUAAUAUUGUUUUGGGAUUCCCAUAAUUGACUUUCUAUAUGAUUGACUGGCCGAGUGAUGUAGACCAAUCUAUACGGUACAUCAUCCAUCAUGGUGACAAAGGGCAUGUGCUUGUUCAAACGCCUCUACACCACAAUAUUUUCUUUUCAAGUGCUAUUUUUUUUUUAUUUAAUAGGUAACAUGUUUAUAAAAUAAACAUUAUAUCUUAUGAAAUUUUAUAAUUUUUUUCUCAAAAUGUUUCUUCAAUAUUUCAAGUCUUGAUUUUAGCCGGUUAAAUAUGUAUUUUCCUUAAUAUAUUUGUCAAUUGAUCUUUAAAAUUGUAAUUCUUCAUUUUAUUUCUCUAUUGCUUUUGUGAUUACAUGAUAUUAACUUUGAUAUACUAUGUCUUUUCACAAUGAAAUAAGGUUCUUUGCUAUUGUAAUAACAAACUUGUUAUCAAAUCUUAAAAUAGUUAUUUUCUCUUGGUCGCGGUCAACAUCUGACAAAUGUUUUCAUAGUCAAAUAAAUUGAUUUCUUGUAGUAACUACGGAAAAAUAUUUAACUUCAACAACAUAUUGUUUCUUUGAGUACCAACAAAAGAAUCAAUUUUCAAAUAAAAAUUCAUACAUUGUUCUACUUUUUAUAUUACACGAGCUUCAUGCCCAAUUACUAUUAGAGUAACCUUGAAGAUUUUUAUUAUUCUUCUUCUUCAAUAAAGACCAAGGUCGAUUGAACAUGUGAUAUAGUUCAAGACACUUUUUGUGUACCCAUGUGAACUUGGCUUGAAGAAUGCAUGAAUUUGGAUAACAAGCUUGCGAAAAAAAAUUAAAUCUAGCCUAGUUAUAAAUAGAUAUAACAAAUCUUCAAUCAUAUUUCUAUAACAAAUGCAUCUCAUUUGAUUCCAUUUUUAUCUGGACACAACUUUUGAGUUACCGUAAAUGGAAUGACAACACAUUUGUAAUUUUUCAAAAUCUUAUUCACCUACGUAUUUGGAGAAAUGAAGAUUUCUUCGGAUGAUUUGAUUAUCUUUAUCUUAAGAAAACAUUUCAUUAAGUUAAGGUAAUUCAUUUUAAAUUCUUACUCCAUAUUCAUUAAUGACAGUUUUUCAACGGAUUACCGACAGACCUAACUCUGUUGGUAAUAACGUUGUCGGUAAUAUUUACCGACUAAUUUUUAUGUCCGUCGGUAAUUAUCGAAGGAAAAAUUCGUCAAUAAGUCCGUCGAUAAAUAUCUCGAUCUGGUUCAUCUCCUUCCUCUUUCCCCUUCUUUUGUUUCCUCAGAUUUUAAAUUUUUUUAUCAAACUUUCUUCAUUCCUAAACCAAAACAACAAUCCAAUUCAUUCCAAAACCAAAAUCAAAGACUAAUGAUGUGUGAGUAAAUGUAAUUGCAUUCAUGUCUUAGUUUAGGUCAUUUCCAUGCAUAAUUGCAUUCAUUGAAGGAUUUAGUCAUGGAUUAUCUUUGUUUCGGAUCAUACAUUGGCAUUUUGUGUUUUUUGAUGUAGAUUGGUGAUUCUAAGUGCCUAAACCACAUUUUUGGAAGAAUUGAUGGACAAGAUAGAAAGAUGAAUCCAGAGAGUUCAACAACGCAGCUGGGGAGAAUUCCAUAACCUGUGGAGUUUGCUUCAAAAUGCAGUGACAAAACAGAGAGCUCCACAAGUGAGUUGUGGUUUCUACCACAACCCGUGGAUUCAUGUCAGGAUUUGGCAAGAGGAACAGAAAAGAACACAGGCAGAGUGGGGAAUUUUCCAUGGGC